GGGUCCCUGGACUUCUGCCAUCUUUUAAAAAGAGUUGCGUGCUAAGCCUCAUUUGGCUCCAAUGUUCCAGACCUGCUGCCUUAAAGCUUUACUGUGAUCUUGCCAACACAAAUGCCACAAUUGCCAGAUAAAAUGUGCCGGCACCUCUUGAACUUUUCGAAAUGAAGGUGUGACUGGAUUCGUUCCAUUCCCGUCAAGGAAUCACGCACCAAAAUGUAGAACUCCUAAUCUCAGAGGGGAUUGUAUAAACGAUGUAUUUGCGAAUGAUAAUGAAUAAAAUGACAGCGACCUUUGGAGGUAGUUGUUAAAAGCUGUUUCUGCAUUUUCAAGA